rnacentral:rRNA from 1 species
AAAAACAUGUCCUUUAGAAUUUAAUUUAAGGUCUAACCUGCCCACUGAAUUAAAUGGCCGCAGUAUUUUAACUGUGCAAAGGUAGCAUAAUCAUUAGUCUUUUAAUUGAAGGCUUGUAUGAAUGGUUGGACGAAAUAUUAACUGUUUCAUAGAAAUUGAUUUAGAAUUUUAUUUUUUAGUUAAAAAGCUAAAAUUUUUUUAAAAGACGAGAAGACCCUAUAGAUCUUUAUAAUUUGUUUAUUAUAGUUAUAUAGAUAAUUUAAAUUAUAAUAGUUUAAAUUAUUUUGUUGGGGUGACAUUAAAAUUUAAUAAACUUUUAAUAUUUUAUUACAUUGAUUUAUGAUUAAUUGAUCCAUUAUUAAUGAUUAUAAAAUUAAGUUACCUUAGGGAUAACAGCGUAAUUUUUUUGGAGAGUUCAUAUCGAUAAAAAAGAUUGCGACCUCGAUGUUGGAUUAAGAUAUAAUUUUGGGUGCAGCAAUUCAAUAAUUAAGUCUGUUCGACUUUUAAUUUCUUACAUGA